rnacentral:lncRNA from 1 species
UCGUGCAUCUGGCAACACUGAGAGGCCGGUCGACCAAUGACAGUUCUCGCUACAGUCAGAGCUUGUGCUAGAAGGUGGAACGUAAGGGAGAUACCCUUUCCUAAACUUGUAAGGGCGUAAAAACUAGUUUGUGAAGGACCCAGAGAAACACAAAUAUCCGACGAGGCAAAAUCCCGGACGAUUUUGCAAUCACUGCCGGCCGCAUGUCCGGGUAAAAGAGGACGUCUGGUCACCCCACCAAAGGAGAUAUUUUAGUAAUCCUGUCGCUGCUAAGCGUCCUUAUCUGCAUUCGUGUUGCAUAUAAACAACAAACCGAUUUGAUGUAGACAUAUAAGAAGAGGAGUCAACCAAAGGAGAUAUUUUUGUGUACAGGCAGAAGGCAUCACGGACUGGUUUUGGUGUUCAAUACCUGCAAUGUAAGCCCUGUUAAUAUCCAUAAAUAUAACAAAAUCUGAUUGUGUCUUCAGGUAUUUUACAUAAUGAAAAUAAUUUCAGAAUAUAUUUGCAUUUUUGUUCAUUUCUGUCAGUUUUUUUGUAAGUGUUUCCAUUGAAA